GACGAACGCUGGCGGCGUGCCUAAUACAUGCAAGUUGAGCGCUGAAGGUUGGUACUUGUACCGACUGGAUGAGCAGCGAACGGGUGAGUAACGCGUGGGGAAUCUGCCUUUGAGCGGGGGACAACAUUUGGAAACGAAUGCUAAUACCGCAUAAAAACUUUAAACACAAGUUUUAAGUUUGAAAGAUGCAAUUGCAUCACUCAAAGAUGAUCCCGCGUUGUAUUAGCUAGUUGGUGAGGUAAAGGCUCACCAAGGCGAUGAUACAUAGCCGACCUGAGAGGGUGAUCGGCCACAUUGGGACUGAGACACGGCCCAAACUCCUACGGGAGGCAGCAGUAGGGAAUCUUUGGCAAUGGACGAAAGUCUGACCGAGCAACGCCGCGUGAGUGAAGAAGGUUGUCGGAUCGUAAAACUCUGUUGGUAGAGAAGAACGUUGGUGAGAGUGGAAAGCUCAUCAAGUGACGGUAACUACCCAGAAAGGGACGGCUAACUACGUG
rnacentral:rRNA from 1 species